rnacentral:rRNA from 1 species
UAGGAGGCAGCAGUAAGGAAUAUUGCGCAAUGGGGGCAACCCUGACGCAGCGACGCCGCGUGAGUGAGGAAGGCCUUCGGGUCGUAAAGCUCUGUCAGCAGGGAAGAAGUGCAUGGUGGCUAAUAUCCAUUGUGUUUGACGGUACCUGCAAAGGAAGCACCGGCUAACUCCGUGCCAGCAGCCGCGGUAAUACGGAGGGUGCGAGCGUUGUUCGGAAUCACUGGGCGUAAAGGGCGCGCAGGCGGUUCUAUAAGUCAGAUGUGAAAGCCCACGGCUUAACUGUGGAAGUGCAUUUGAAACUGUAAGACUUGAGUACCAGAGGGGAAGGUGGAAUUCCCGGUGUAGAGGUGAAAUUCGUAGAUAUCGGGAGGAAUACCGGUGGCGAAGGCGACCUUCUGGCUGGAUACUGACGCUGAGGCGCGAAAGCGUGGGGAGCAAACAGGAUUAGAUACCCUGGUAGUCCU